rnacentral:rRNA from 1 species
AAACAUGUCCUUUAGAAUUUAAUUUAAGGUCUAGCCUGCCCACUGAUUUAAAUGGCCGCAGUAUUUUAACUGUGCAAAGGUAGCAUAAUCAUUAGUCUUUUAAUUGAAGGCUUGUAUGAAUGGUUGGACGAAAUAUUAACUGUUUCAUAAAAAUUUAUUUAGAAUUUUAUUUUUUAGUUAAAAAGCUAAAAUUUUUUUAAAAGACGAGAAGACCCUAUAGAUCUUUAUAAUUUAUUUAUUAUAGUUAUAUAGAUUAUUUAAAUUAUGAUUUUAUAAAUUAUUUUGUUGGGGUGACAUUAAAAUUUAAUAAACUUUUAAUAAAUUUUUACAUUAAUUUAUGAAUUAUUGAUCCAUUAUUAGUGAUUAUAAAAUUAAGUUACCUUAGGGAUAACAGCGUAAUUUUUUUGAAGAGUUCAUAUCGAUAAAAAAGAUUGCGACCUCGAUGUUGGAUUAAGAUAUAAUUUUGGGUGCAGCAAUUCAAUAAUUAAGUCUGUUCGACUUUUAAUUUCUUACAUG